AACGAACGCUGGCGGCAGGCCUAACACAUGCAAGUCGAACGCUGCAGCAAUGCAGAGUGGCAGACGGGUGAGUAACGCGUGGGAACCUUCCCAAUGGUACGGAAUAGCCCAGGGAAACUUGGGGUAAUACCGUAUAAGCCCCAUGGGGGAAAGAUUUAUCGCCAUUGGAUGGGCCCGCGUCGGAUUAGCUAGUUGGUGAGGUAACGGCUCACCUAGGCGACGAUCCGUAGCUGGUUUGAGAGAAUGACCAGCCACACUGGGACUGAGACACGGCCCAGACUCCUACGGGAGGCAGCAGUGGGGAAUCUUGGACAAUGGGCGAAAGCCUGAUCCAGCCAUGCCGCGUGAGUGACGAAGGCCUUAGGGUUGUAAAGCCCUUUUGGCGGGGACGAUAAUGACGGUACCCGCAGAAUAAGUCCCGGCUAACUUCGUGCCAGCAGCCGCCGUAA
rnacentral:rRNA from 1 species